rnacentral:rRNA from 1 species
AACGAACGCUGGCGGCAUGCCUAACACAUGCAAGUCGAACGAGACCUUCGGGUCUAGUGGCGCACGGGUGCGUAACGCGUGGGAACCUGCCCUUAGGUUCGGAAUAACUCACCGAAAGGGGUGCUAAUACCGGAUAAUGUCUUCGGACCAAAGAUUUAUCGCCUUUGGAUGGGCCCGCGUUGGAUUAGCUAGUUGGUAGGGUAAAAGCCUACCAAGGCGACGAUCCAUAGCUGGUCUGAGAGGAUGAUCAGCCACACUGGGACCGAGACACGGCCCAGACUCCUACGGGAGGCAGCAGUGGGGAAUAUUGGACAAUGGGCGAAAGCCUGAUCCAGCAAUGCCGCGUGAGUGAUGAAGGCCUUAGGGUUGUAAAGCUCUUUUACCCGGGAUGAUAAUGACAGUACCGGGAGAAUAAGCUCCGGCUAACUCCGUG